AUGAAGUCUCCACUCGAAGUGUUGCUUAAUGAAACUCCAGAUUACUCCCUCCUCAAAGUGUUCGGCUGUGCGUGUUGGCCGCAUCUUCGUCCGUACAAUAAGCAUAAACUUGAGUAUCGAUCUAAACAAUGUGUGUUUCUUGGGUACAGUCCUCUCCACAAAGGUUACAAGUGUCUUCACAUCCCGUCAAAUCGUGUUUACAUUUCUCGUGAUGUUGUGUUCGAUGAGACUGUCUUCCCGUUUUCCACGCUCACAUCACCCACCGAUACUCCCGUCACUGAGUUGCACUCUUUUCCAGUUUUGCCUGAUCAAUUUGUGGAUGCUGCAUAUUCUCCUCUGUUGUUGCCUAACCAUGGUGCAGGGACUGGACGAGGCGCUCGACUUGAGCUUCUGGAUGAUGAUAUGGCCACAACUGCGCCAGUUGCUGCCAUGCCGGAUGAGGCGCUCGACGAGGCUGCCUCCGCCACUACCCCGCUUGACCCCGACGUCGAUCACGCGUGCAUGCCCCAUGCACGAGGAUCCGACGGGGUGACCAAGUCGCCGGGGUCAGCGGCCUCGCUGUCGCCUGGGCCGGCCGAACCUGCAGAGCUGUCGGCCGGGCCGGCUGGACCCGCGGCGCUCUCCCCUGAGCCGGAGGCCUCGCAGGUCACUGAGUCUUCAUCGCCUGGUCCGUCGACGCCGAUCACACCCGGUCUGUCUUCGCCGACCCUGACCGUGCCACCGGAUGCGCCUGUUGACUCGCCCGCCGGUGCGUCCUCCUCGCCGCUGAUGGAUAGUGGCUCCUCUGGUAUGGCAGCUCCACCGCCACCUCCGCCUGUCGUCCUGCGUCCCCAUACUCGCAGCAAAAGUGGCAUCUUCCAACCGAAGAAGCGCACUGACGGCACUGUCGCGUGGCUUGCGGCCUGUGUGGCACAUGCUGAGGCUGACCCUACGACUGAACCACGACAUUUUCGAGCGGCGCUUGGCAUCCCGCAUUGGCGUGCUGCGAUGGAGCAGGAGAUUCAUGCCCUUCAAAGAAACAACACUUGGCGUCUUGUUCCACCUCCAUCUGGUGUUAAUAUCAUUGACUCUAAAUGGGUAUUCAAGGUGAAGAAACAUGCUGAUGGCUCCAUUGAGAGGUACAAGGCACGCCUGGUUGCCAAGGGGUUCAAACAAUGGUAUGGCAUUGAUUAUGAAGACACAUUCAGUCCUGUUAUUAAACCAACUACUAUUCGUGUUCUUCUCUCUUUGGCUGUUACUCGCGGAUGGUCGCUUCGACAGCUUGAUGUUCAGAAUGCCUUUCUCCAUGGAGUUCUGGAAGAAGAGGUUUAUAUGCGUCAGCCGCCAGGUUUUGUUGACCCUGCUCAGCCACAUCAUUUAUGUCGUCUUGUCAAAGCUCUCUACGGUUUGAAGCAGGCCCCGCGUGCAUGGCAUGCCCGUCUUGGCGCUGCUCUUCGUGCGCAUGGGUUUGUUCCUUCUACAGCAGACACGUCUCUGUUUAUUCUACAGCGACCUGAGGUGACUAUGUACAUUCUGGUAUAUGUUGAUGACAUCAUCCUUGUCAGUUCGUCUGCUUCUGCUACAGACCGGCUUGUGUCCUCUCUUGGUGCUGAGUUUGCUGUUAAGGAUCUUGGGAGACUGCAUUAUUUUCUGGGCCUAGAGGUUCUUCAUUCUGAUGGUGGCUUGACUCUUACUCAGAAGUACUCUCAGGAUCUCCUGCGUCGUGCAGGUAUGUUGCAGUGCAAGUCUGCUACGACUCCCAUGUCUGCUACAGACAAACUGACAGCUCUUGCUGGUGACUUGCUUGCUCCUGAGGAUGCCACAGAGUACCGCAGCAUUGUGGGUGGACUGCAAUACUUGCUCAUUACUCGACCAGACAUAUCAUUUGCAAUUAACCGUGUGUGCCAGUAUCUUCAUGCACCACGUGAUUCUCACUGGUCAGCUGUUAAGCGCAUCUUGCGCUAUGUUCGUCACACUGGUUCAUAUGGUCUCCAUCUUCAGCCUGCGCGUUCUGGACUGAUCUCAGCAUUCUCUGAUGCCGACUGGGCUGGUUGUCCUGAUGAUCGGCGAUCCACGGGGGGACAUGCUGUGUUCUUUGGGCCUAACUUGAUCGCCUGGCAAGCUCGCAAGCAAGCUACGGUGUCUCGGAGUAGUACCGAAGCUGAGUACAAAGCUGUUGCUAAUGCCACAGCUGAGAUCAUGUGGGUGCAGUCAUUGCUUCGAGAGUUGAAGGUCUCCCCAACUCAGCCGCCUGUUCUUUGGUGUGAUAACAUCGAUGCAACAUACCUUUCAUCCAAUCCAGUAUUUCAUGCCCGAACGAAGCACAUCGAAGUUGACUAUCAUUUUGUGAGGGAACGUGUUGCUCAGAAGCUCCUUCAGAUUAAGUUUGUUUCUUCGAAGGAUCAGCUUGCUGAUAUUUUCACUAAACCCUUGCCCUUGCCUUCUUUUGAAGGAUGUCGUCGCAAUCUUAACCUUCUGAGUGUUUCAGGACAUAGUUAA
rnacentral:rRNA from 1 species